rnacentral:rRNA from 1 species
ACUACGGGGGGCUGCAGUGGGGAAUAUUGCACAAUGGGGGAAACCCUGAUGCAGCGACGCCGCGUGAGUGAAGAAGUAUUUCGGUAUGUAAAGCUCUAUCAGCAGGGAAGAAGAAAGACGGUACCUGACUAAGAAGCCCCGGCUAACUACGUGCCAGCAGCCGCGGUAAUACGGAGGGGGCAAGCGUUAUCCGGAUUUACUGGGUGUAAAGGGAGCGUAGACGGCUGUGCAAGUCUGAAGUGAAAGCCCAGGGCUCAACCCUGGGACUGCUUUGGAAACUGUGGAGCUAGAGUGCUGGAGAGGUAAGUGGAAUUCCUGGUGUAGCGGUGAAAUGCGUAGAUAUUAGGAGGAACACCAGUGGCGAAGGCGGCUUACUGGACAGUAACUGACGUUGAGGCUCGAAAGCGUGGGGAGCAAACAGGAUUAGAUACCCUGGUAGUC